ACAUCCAGAGACUUAGCAGAGAUGCUUUGGUGCCUUCGGGAACUCUGAGACAGGUGCUGCAUGGCUGUCGUCAGCUCGUGUUGUGAAAUGUUGGGUUAAGUCCCGNAACGAGCGCAACCCCUAUCCUUUGUUGCCAGCGAUUCGGUCGGGAACUCAAAGGAGACUGCCGGUGAUAAACCGGAGGAAGGUGGGGAUGACGUCAAGUCAUCAUGGCCCUUACGAGUAGGGCUACACACGUGCUACAAUGGCGCAUACAAAGAGAAGCGACCUCGCGAGAGCAAGCGGACCUCAUAAAGUGCGUCGUAGUCCGGAUUGGAGUCUGCAACUCGACUCCAUGAAGUCGGAAUCGCUAGUAAUCGUAGAUCAGAAUGCUACGGUGAAUACGUUCCCGGGCCUUGUACACACCGCCCGUCACACCAUGGGAGUGGGUUGCAAAAGAAGUAGAUAGCUUAACCUUCGGGAGGGCGUUUACCACUUUGUGAUUCAUGACUGGGGUGAAGUCGUAACAAGGUAGGCGUACGUGU
rnacentral:rRNA from 1 species